AUGUUUCCCUACCCAGGCCCUUUUCUUUCAGCUUGUUUGCCUGUUGAACCUUGUUACAUAAAAACAGUUAUCUUGGUGCUUUCAUUAGUGUUUCCAGCCCUGAGCAUGAACUGGUUUUCCUUCCUUAAUUUUUGCUGGUCACCGGAUUCGAAGUGCGCUUUCCUUAGAGCUACUGCGGCUAAUGGAAUGAUAUGCAAAUGUGCACACGCAUAUGUAUUAUGUGCUAGUAUUAAACUUUACUACAAUAACUGCCAUGUAACUUUUGUUUUUAUCAAGUUUGGGUUGCUUACCACAUGUAUGUGGUAA
rnacentral:rRNA from 1 species